CUGGAAUUUGAGGCUGAAAUUCUGAGGAAAUUUAUGCUAAGACUUCACACUUGGCCCCUUGAUUUGGCUUGAUGAGUUAGCAAGAGUAAUUCAGUCCAUUUGAGGGAAUUAAGCCUGUGGUUUUGAGGAGUGAAAGCUAAGAAGGUGUGGAAGAUAACAUAGGUCGAAAUCCUCCAUCAAAGGUAAAGGCAAGGGUAAGAUGGACCAGUCCUGAGUGGGAGACCUUUGAGGCUGAAUGUACAUAGUCGGCUGAUCGGCCGCCACGACCGAGGAGUGGUACAGGACGGGAAAGCCUAAAUGUCUGUUUUGCCCUUAGAGUGGCUAGUAGCUGUACCUAUAUGAAAUGGAACUUUUGUAACCAAAAUCUUUUAACCCUAGUUCAAUUAUAGUUUCAGUAACACGUUUCUAACUAAAUGACUUGAUUAGCAAG